GUUGCGGUGGCCGAGUGGUUAAGGCGUUGGACUCGAAAGCCAAUUGGAUCUUCCCGCGCAGGUUCGAGUCCUGCCCGCAACG
rnacentral:tRNA from 2 species